rnacentral:lncRNA from 1 species
CUGUUAGGUAAGAGGCGCGUGAGGCUCCUGUGCCGGGGGCGGUGCUGCUCCCGAGUCGGCGCGCGGCGGGGACGCGAGUCCUUUCUCUCCUGUCACAAUGGCAUGAUCUCGGCUCACUGCGACCUCUGCUUCCUGGGUUCAAGGAUUCUCCUGCCUCAGCCUCCCAAGUAGCUGGGAUUACAGGUUACAUUAGUUAUACACUCUGGAGGUGACUUGACCUGUCAUUGUGAACAAUUAUUGCUCUUGGACGACCCAGGACAUAGGCCAGCCAGUACGUACCCCAGUGUGUUGGAGAAUCGCGCUCGGCUUCUUCCUCUGUGCUGAGUCAUGAAAGUUGCCGGAGCAGGUGCAGUUACACAACCUCCAGGUAUGAUCCUGUUUAAGGACUGGAUUUAGGAUAACUACUUAGAGGUUAAAAGUCACAAGGGUGUAUGGAUGAGGCUGGAGUGAUCUGGGACCAAAGACAUCUAGGCUUGCUGUCAAGGCUUCUGAUCAACAUGAGAUGACCGCCGUGUGGUAAACUGAUGAACCCUGACCCUGAUCAACAUGAGAUGACCGCCGUGUGGUAAACUGAUGAACCCCGACCCUGAUGAACGUGAGAUGACCGCCGUGUGGUAAACUGAUGAACCCCGACCCUGAUGAACGUGAGAUGACCGCCGUGUGGUAAACUGAUGAACCCCGACCCUGAUGAACGUGAGAUGACCGCCGUGUGGUAAACUGAUGAACCCCGACCCUGAUGAACGUGAGAUGACCGCCGUGUGGUAAACUGAUGAACCCCGACCCUGAUCAACGUGAGAUGACCGCCGUGUGGUAAACUGAUGAACCCCGACCCUGAUGAACAUGAGAUGACCGCCGUGUGGUAAACUGAUGAACCCCGACCCUGAUCAACAUGAGAUGACCGCCGUGUGGUAAACUGAUGAACCCCGACCCUGAUCAACAUGAGAUGACUGCCGUGUGGUAAACUGAUGAACCCUGACCCAUUAGGCUUUGGCUACAGAAUGUGGAAAUAAGUUGUGUUACUACAUGUGUGUAAUCCUAGGGUGCAGGACACCGGCCGGGAGGUUCCAUAGAGUGAUGGGUUCUGCAGGUAACUCAUCCUCUAGUCCUCUGUAAGCUCCUAGAAGGAAGAAAUUAUGUCCUUUAGACUAAUAAAAUUCCUCCAAACCAAAUACAGCACCUACUGUGAAGACACAAAGAUACUUUUAGAAUAGUAAAAACUUUAUCCAUUGAGAAAUUCCUUAAUGAAACAGUAUCCAAGAAGUCAUUUGCCAGCAGAUUUCUUAGAGGUGCGAUAAAGAAGAGGACAUUGCCAGUCGUCACAGCAGCUGCAAUAGCUCCUCUCUAUUGUUAAACAGUGGGAUAUCUUGUGCAGGUUUUCAGUUGACAAUCAAUUUUAAAGAUUAGUUUCGGUCCCCAUCAAUCAAUUAUUUAUUAACCCAUCAAUAAAAAUUUAAAUGCUC